rnacentral:rRNA from 1 species
UACGUAUGGUGCAAGCGUUAUCCGGAUUUACUGGGCGUAAAGGGAGCGCAGGCGGCGCGCCAAGUCUGAUGUGAAACCCCGGGGCUCAACCCCGGGCAUGCAUUGGAAACUGGCGGGCUGGAGUGCCGGAGAGGUAAGCGGAAUUCCUAGUGUAGCGGUGAAAUGCGUAGAUAUUAGGAGGAACACCAGUGGCGAAGGCGGCUUACUGGACGGCAACUGACGCUGAGGCUCGAAAGCGUGGGGAGCAAAUAGG